rnacentral:rRNA from 1 species
UACAGAGGAUGCAAGCGUUAUUCGGAAUGAUUGGGCGUAAAGCGUCUGUAGGUGGCUUUUUAAGUCCGCCGUCAAAUCCCAGGGCUCAACUCUGGACAGGCGGUGGAAACUACCAAGCUGGAGUACGGUAGGGGCAGGAGGGAAUUUCCGGUGGAGCGGUGGAAAUGACGUAGAGAUCGGAAAGAACACCAACGGCGAAAGCACUCUGCUGGGCCGACACUGACACUGAGAGACGAAAGCUAGGGGAGCGAAUGGG